rnacentral:rRNA from 1 species
GGCAGCACGGACUUCGGUCUGGUGGCGAGUGGCGAACGGGUGAGUAAUAUACCGGAACGUAUCCAAUAAUGGGGGAUAACUAAUCGAAAGGUUGGCUAAUACCGCAUACGCCCUACGGGGGAAAGCUAGGGACCUUCGGGCCUGGCGUUAAUGGAGCGGCCGAUAUCUGAUUAGCUAGUUGGUGGGGUAAAGGCUCACCAAGGCGACGAUCAGUAGCUGGUCUGAGAGGACGACCAGCCACACUGGAACUGAGACACGGUCCAGACUCCUACGGGAGGCAGCAGUGGGGAAUUUUGGACAAUGGGCGCAAGCCUGAUCCAGCCAUUCCGCGUGAGUGAAGAAGGCCUUCGGGUUGUAAAGCUCUUUCGCAAGGGAAGAAAACUUAUCCUCUAACAUAGGAUGAGGUUGACGGUACCUUGAUAAGAAGCACCGGCUAACUACGUGCCAGCAGCCGCGGUAAUACGUAGGGUGCGAGCGUUAAUCGGAAUUACUGGGCGUAAAGCGUGCGCAGGCGGCUUUAAAAGUCAGAUGUGAAAUCCCCGAGCUCAACUUGGGAACUGCGUUUGAAACUCUAAAGCUAGAAUAUGUCAGAGGGGGGUAGAAUUCCACGUGUAGCAGUGAAAUGCGUAGAGAUGUGGAGGAAUACCAAUGGCGAAGGCAGCCCCCUGGGAUAAUAUUGACGCUCAUGCACGAAAGCGUGGGGAGCAAACAGGAUUAGAUACCCUGGUAGUCCACGCCCUAAACGAUGUCUACUAGUUGUUGGUGGAGUAAAAUCCAUGAGUAACGCAGCUAACGCGUGAA